rnacentral:lncRNA from 1 species
GUGCAAUUAGAAUCUGAUACCGUUUCAAGGUCUUGACUCUCUCAAGAACCCUCCAAUUUUCCAUCCCUUGGGACAGCCAAGAUGACCUGCGGCCAGUGUCCACAUGAGGAUACUAACCCCAGCAGAUUACAGAGCAGCUCAGAGGAAUUCCCAGGGCCCAGCCCCUGUAGCACUACAUACAGGUUCAAAUCCAAGGCCCAGAGGUCCACUCUUGCUCCUCUGCAGCGAGAGUCAGAAAUGAAGCUGGGCUUCUGCAGAGCCACGGUCUCCACAGUGAGUCAGAGUGCUGCCGCCAGCCUCCCUGGAAACUGCACAGGGAAGCCCCAGUAGACACAGGGAAUUGCAGGCUGGACUCUGCUACUGGCCACAGUGCUACAGGAUGAGUGGGAGGGGAUCUUCCAUGUGGCAUUGCCCCUGUCCUGGGCGCCAGCACCUGGAGGGCAUGCCCCUCCAAGGAGAAGAAGUCCAGGCCAUGGCAGCAGACAGAGCACGGGGCAGGGGAGACCAGGCAUGUGGAGAGGCCAUGGCUUGCUCCACAGGCAGGGACCCCAAAAGCGCCUUCAACAUUUUGCUUCUCAUUUAGUUUCUGAACCCAUUUCCCCUGUUAUGUGGCUGCUUAAACUUUCUUAAAUCUCUCACUAUUGCACACACUCAGUGUUGGUGCAUGUUAGUAGCUAAUGCUUACGAAUCUGUGUAGAAUGAGCAAGAGGGGAUUUGUAGGUCUCCAGGUCAAGUGGACAGAGAUGGACGAAGGUCUCACAGAACUCGUGCUGAGGAGUCGACGAAGGCCUGAGAAGCCACUUGGCAGCUCUCUAACCACAAGAGAGGUGCUUGACGUGCCGUCAUCUCCAUCACUGCUGAAGGGCAAGCCACCCAUCCCCAAGCCCCUGCACGCCCAUGUGCAAGAGCACGCCCAGUGCCCAGGGCCUGCUAGACACAGAGAGUUCCCGUGGGUGCAGCAAGAAAACUCCCAGGGACAAGAAGGUGGCAGGGACAUCUGGGCCAGUGUGAGCUUACUGCUGGGCCAUAGAGGAAGGCCGG